rnacentral:tRNA from 1 species
GGGCGUGCGAUGGGUGUCGCAUCGGAAUAAAGCCAACGCGCCAUUCCGGUGACUCGGGUUCGAAUCCCGACGCGUCCA